GCUCCUGUAGUGUAGUGGUAGCACGCGCCCCUGGAUGUAUGAAAUGCGGGUUCAACUCCCGCCUGAGGUA